GAAAGCCACGGCUAACUACGUGCCAGCAGCCGCGGUAAUACGUAGGUGGCAAGCGUUGUCCGGAUUUAUUGGGCGUAAAGCGCGCGCAGGUGGUUUCUUAAGUCUGAUGUGAAAGCCCACGGCUCAACCGUGGAGGGUCAUUGGAAACUGGGAGACUUGAGUGCAGAAGAGGAAAGUGGAAUUCCAAGUGUAGCGGUGAAAUGCGUAGAGAUUUGGAGGAACACCAGUGGCGAAGGCGACUUUCUGGUCUGUAACUGACACUGAGGCGCGAAAGCGUGGGGAGCAAACAGGAUUAGAUACCCUGGUAGUCCACGCCGUAAACGAUGAGUGCUAAGUG
rnacentral:rRNA from 1 species